UUACUUACCUGGAUGGGGUCAAUGGAUGAUCAUGAAGGUCCAUGGCCUAGGAUUGUGACCUCCAUUGCACUUAGGAGGGGUGCUUUCCUAAGAUCUACCCAAGUGGUGGAGUCUACAUCAUAAUUUGUUGCAGUGGGGGCCUGCGUUCGCGCGGCCCCUCU
rnacentral:snRNA from 1 species